rnacentral:rRNA from 1 species
AUUGAACGCUGGCGGCGUGCUUAACACAUGCAAGUCGAGCGGUAAGGCCCUUUCGGGGGUACACGAGCGGCGAACGGGUGAGUAACACGUGGGUGACCUGCCCUUAGCUCUGGGAUAAGCCUGGGAAACUGGGUCUAAUACCGGAUAUGACUCCAUGACGCAUGUUGUGGGGUGGAAAGCCUUGUGCGGCUGGGGAUGGGCCCGCGGCCUAUCAGCUUGUUGGUGGGGUGAUGGCCUACCAAGGCGA